CCAAAUGCAGUGACAAGGAGGAGUACAUACUCACCGGGAUUUCAGAGAGAAGAUGUUUGGUGGAAGUCUUCAUUCAGGAAGUAUGGAAGUAGCCUUUGAGCAGUGAACCCAACGGGAAGAGCCUGUUUUAACGGAGAAGGGAUUUUAGCCCAGUCCGGACACCGGUAGGAAGAAUAGGUGUUCAGGUGAUUCUUCAGUAGACUUCAACGGAAGUUUCCGCCGUUACACGGAAAACGGUAUCGACAUUUCUGCAUAAAUAUGACAGGGGUCCGUAGCGGAGUGAGUGCAGAGAUUUUUCUCUGAAUUUAGGUGGUAACACGGAUAAUUAUCCGCCCUAAGC
rnacentral:ncRNA from 1 species